rfam:Candidatus Hamiltonella defensa 5AT (Acyrthosiphon pisum), complete genome.
GCAUCUGCAAAAUCAGAUGUCGGGAUUGACCUCCUGAUGUAACUAACAAGGCGCACAGCACGCCGACAGCGUGUUUUUU